GUUUCUGUAGUUGAGAUUAGACAACAGUGGUUUUUCAGGCCGCAGGUCUUGGAGAGAAGCCAAGCAGGAACU
rnacentral:tRNA from 1 species